GGAGAAAAACGCAAACCCCGCUUAUGUCCUCGCACAGCAACCCCUGGCUCCUGCCGGGCCUACUCAGACUUCGCCGUAUCAGCAGGUUAUCAAGGAGCAGGCACUUGAACGAGACUGCUCACACUUUCCCUCUGCUGCACAUACGCUCCCUGACUACCCAGACAAGUUCCAGUUUUAGUGGUGGUCUUUCUUUUAUGAGGCCUCAUGGAAAACAUGGACAAGCUGUUCUAGUUCCAGUUCCUUGAUGCUGUUCGCAAGAGGCUGGCAGUGAACUUUGCAAUACAGUGGUGAACAACGUGGCCUAUCAUCAUCCUCAGUGAAUCCAAUGCUAUUCUUGGCUUCAGAAUAAACAGUUGAGAUUUCACUUUUAAACA